rnacentral:rRNA from 1 species
AGUGAACGCUGGCGGUAGGCCUAACACAUGCAAGUCGAACGGCAGCGCAGGAGAGCUUGCUCUCUGGGUGGCGAGUGGCGGACGGGUGAGGAAUACAUCGGAAUCUACUCUGUCGUGGGGGAUAACGUAGGGAAACUUACGCUAAUACCGCAUACGACCUACGGGUGAAAGCAGGGGACCUUCGGGCCUUGCGCGAUUGAAUGAGCCGAUGUCGGAUUAGCCAGUUGGCGGGGUAAAGGCCCACCAAGGCGACGAUCCGUAGCUGGUCUGAGAGGAUGAUCAGCCACACUGGGACUGAGACACGGUCCAGACUCCUACGGGAGGCAGCAGUGGGGAAUAUUGGACAAUGGGCGCAAGCCUGAUCCAGCCAUACCGCGUGGGUGAAGAAGGCCUUCGGGUUGUAAAGCCCUUUUGUUGGGAAAGAAAUCCAGCUGGCUAAUACCCGGUUGGGAUGACGGUACCCAAAGAAUAAGCACCGGCUAACUUCGUGCCAGCCGCCGCGGUAA